rnacentral:tRNA from 1 species
AUUGGGGUGGCAGAGUCAGGAAAAAUGCACAAGGCCUAAGCCCUUGAACUCAGAAGUUCAAAUCCUCUCCCCAAUC